AUAAAUACAAUAUGUAUAUUUAUUUUGAGGUUUUGAAUAGUGUCUUAAGACAAUAAGCUCACUAUCUUUUCACUGGCAUACUGUAAAUCAAAUUACUAGAAGUUCUGGAUCGGCAUUAGGUUUGUAGUAUCAUGCCAUACCAUUUUAUACUUGUUUUUGUUGCUCACUAUCAUAAAUGUGUAGUUCAUAGAAACUUUUGAAGUGAAUUUAUUGUAUUAAAUAUCCAUUAUUGACAAAUGAUUCGUCAAGCGAUGGCGGCUUUUGUUGAGGCAAAAUCAAGGGGCACAAGUGCAUUCCAUAGGAAGGAGUAUUGGCUAGCAGUGUAUUGGUAGACAGAGGGAAUAUUCACAUUUAUAUUAGAAAUGUGCAUUUGCCAUAUCAUGAUCUAGAAACGAAAUAGGGUACAAGCCUUCAUUUUUCUUUUGGCAAAGAAAGCAUUAAGAGGUUUUGGGGAGAUUCUUGUUCAAGUGAAGAAAUUUGUUGAAAGAAAAGAGAUGGGUGAUGUGCAGUCAAUACUACCACGGGAGAUUAUUUAGGCCUGUUGCACACUGUCAAUGGUCAGAUGGUAGGAAGAUCAGAAGCUGAAAAUGUGUACAUGGGCAAAUGAUUUUCAAAGGAUCACGAUAACAUGAAUUGUUGUCGCAUUUGCUUAAAUGGUUUCAUAGAGAAUCCCAUUGACAACUAUGAGUUUUGGAUAUAUUGAGAGCUAAAUGCAGUCCUCAGAAAAGAAUUCAAGAAGCAAGGGGCACUGGCUAAAAAAGGCUCUGUAGGAUGGAAAGGUACGGCACUGAGAAAGAAGAAAUAGAUUUGCUAUCAAAGAAGCUCUUAAUAAAAGUAAUUUCGCAUUUGGAGUCGUUGAUCAUCAACUAAAGUUGUGUCUUCACGUUCCCCAACCAACCUUUCAGAAACGAAAGACGAAAGGAGUACUAAGCGAUUCAAUCGUUUUAUCAAACUUUCAUAUUUGCAACUGUGCACAAUUGAAUAUUUAUCAAUGUUGUUUAGAACUUGAAGCAUAAAAUUGCCUUAACAGGUUUGAUAGAGUGGAAUCUUUAAAAAAACAAUCGAAAAUGGAAAGUGCUGGUUGCCAUCUCCAGAUGUUUCUGAACCAGAGCAUUUAGGGAGGACACGGGAUCUAAAGCAUAGUGACGCAAUCUCUUUUGAAGAGAGAAAAAAUAACCAUAUAUUGUUUUUCAGAUAUGAAAGUAGGCACGACAAAAACGUUGAUAUGGAAGCUGUUCAUCUGUUUAGAUAGAUCCACAUAAGUUUAAUCUCUUUAUAUAAGUUGAUGAGCUAUCUAAAUAUAUGCAUAAACUCAUUCAUAUUGUAUGAAUUAUUAUAAUGCAAAAUUUCUGGUAGUCGUGAUUGCUAAUUUAUUGCUUGACUCGACAGGACCAAAAGGAAGAGCUCAAGAUGCAGAGAAGAGUUGGAGGAAUGUGAGGUGCGGGCACUUCAGUUAGCGGGACAAUGCGGUUAAUGUAAGGAGAAUUCAACUCUAACUAUUGCUGCCAUGAUGGUCUCAGUGUGGUAUUUACCAUAGUACUUGGGCAUAAAGUUGCUUGGUUUCCCUUUAUCGCAGCUUUAUUUGUUCGUGAACUAUGAACCUUACUUGCAAUGUUGCAACUUGUGUUACUUAUCCGAAUCAAGAUUUGUACAAUGUGUUAAAUGUAAGAAUGAGCUGUCUGUUUAA